rnacentral:rRNA from 1 species
AUUGAACGCUGGCGGAAUGCUUUACACAUGCAAGUCGAACGGUAGAGGGGGCAACCCCUCGAGAGUGGCGAACGGGUGAGUAAUAUAUCGGAACGUGCCCAGUCGUGGGGGAUAACGUAGCGAAAGUUACGCUAAUACCGCAUACGAUCUAAGGAUGAAAGCGGGGGAUCGCAAGACCUCGCGCGAUUGGAGCGGCCGAUAUCAGAUUAAGUAGUUGGUGGGGUAAAGGCUAACCAAGCCAACGAUCUGUAGCUGGUCUGAGAGGACGACCAGCCACACUGGAACUGAGACACGGUCCAGGCUCCUACGGGAGGCAGCAGUGGGGAAUUUUGGACAAUGGACGCAAGUCUGAUCCAGCCAUUCCGCGUGCAGGAUGAAGGCCCUCGGGUUGUAAACUGCUUUUGUACGGAACGAAAAGGUCUCUCUUAAUACGGGGGACUCAUGACGGUACCGUAAGAAUAAGCACCGGCUAACUACGUGCCAGCAGCCGCAGUAA